UCAGAUGAUGAUUACCUUGGAUACCAAAAUGUGAUUGAGACACCCAAAAGCAGUGGACAUGUUUUGGCAGAUGUAGACAUUUAUGAAAACAGCCUAGCAAUCCAGCUAUGGAAGUGUGCACAGAUUUCAGAAAGCUCCAAUGAUAAUUAUGAGGAAGAACCUACUUACAUCAAUACAGGACCAUAUAACAGUUCUCAGGGUAGAGAUGUCUGUUCUUGAGAAACUGUAUCCUAAGUCUACUUUUUUAAAUGGGAAAACCUGUGAUCCAGGAAGUAUCUUUCCACCUGUGACUAAAAUCUUCAAGGGCUGAAAUCCAAAAGGAGUUAAAGGCCUAAAGUAUCCCAACUUCAACACACCAGAAGACUGGAUAACAACACUGGACAAUUCUACAGGGCUGUUAUACCUCACUCCUUCCACCUCCUCCUUGCCCUGCCUAUCAGCUUUGUAUUUCUGACUUAUUUUGCAGACGUGGCAUAAUUUAUCACUGUCUCCCAGGCAGCGAAUCUUGCUUUUGGCAAUAUUUAUGAAGCACUUAUGGGCUUUGUCUCCCAAUUUUGGUAGGAUCAUUUUUUAGAAAUCUGCAGAAAUGACAAGCCUCUGU